UCAAUGAUGAUAAUGACAUUAGUUGAAGAAGAAGCUCCGGCUAACUCCGUGCCAGCAGCCGCGGUAAUACGAGGGGGGCUAGCGUUGGUCGGAAUCACUGGGCGUAAAGCGUAUGUAGGCGGAUCAGAAAGUUAGAUGUGAAAUCCCUGGGCUCAACCCAGGAACUGCAUUUAAAACUAAUGAUCUAGAAUUUGGUAGGGGUUAGUAGAAUUUCCAGUGUAGAGGUGAAAUUCGUAGAUAUUGGAAAGAAUACCAGUGGCGAAGGCGGCUAACUGGGCCAUUUUUGACGCUAAGAUACGAAAGCGUGGGUAGCAAACAGGGUUAGAUACCCUGGUAGUCCACGCAGUAAACGAUGAGUGCUAGUCGCUGGGACAAUAGUUUCAGUGUCGUAGCUAACGCAUUAAGCACUCCGCCUGGGAAGUACGGUCGCAAGAUUAAAACUCAAAUAAAUUGACGGGGGCCCGCACAAGCGGUGGAGCAUGUGGUUUAAUUCGAAGCAACGCGAAGAACCUUACCAGACCUUGACAUGGUGUGUUUGAAUUACAGAAUCGUAAUUCUUCAGUUCGGCUGGCACACACACAGGUGCUGCAUGGCUGUCGUCAGCUCGUGUCGUGAGAUGUUGGGUUAAGUCCCGCAACGAGCGCAACCCUCAUUAUUAGUUGCCAUCAGGUUAUGCUGGGCACUCUAAAAAAACUGCCGGUGAUAAGCUGGAGGAAGGCGGGGAUGACGUCAAGUCCUCAUGGCCCUUACGGUCUGGGCUACACACGUGCUACAAUGGUGGUGACAGUGGGCAGCAAUAUCGCAAGAUAAAGCUAAUCCCAAAAAACCAUCUCAGUUCGGAUUGGACUCUGCAACUCGAGUCCAUGAAGUUGGAAUCGCUAGUAAUCGUAGAUCAGCGUGCUACGGUGAAUACGUUCUCGGGCCUUGUACACACCGCCCGUCACGCCAUGGGAGUUGGUUUUACCUUAAGCCGGUGCGCUGACCGCAAGGAGGCAGC
rnacentral:rRNA from 1 species